rnacentral:rRNA from 1 species
AUACGGAGGGUGCGAGCGUUAAUCGGAAUUACAGGGCGUAAAGCGUACGUAGGCGGUUGGUUAAGUUAGAUGUGAAAGCCCCGGGCUUAACCUGGGAACUGCAUUUAAAACUGGCGAACUAGAGUUGAGUAGAGGGGAGUGGAAUUUCAGGUGUAGCGGUGAAAUGCGUAGAGAUCUGAAGGAACACCAGUGGCGAAGGCGACUCCCUGGACUCGAACUGACGCUGAGGUACGAAAGCGUGGGUAGCAAACGGGAUUAGAAACCCGGGUAGUCC